ACACAUGCAAGUCGAACGAGCAAAUACAUUUGAUUUCUUCGGAAUGAAGAUGUAGGCGCGAGUGGCGGACGGGUGAGUAACGCGUGAGUAAUCUGCCUCAUACAGGAGAAUAACACUAAGAAAUUGGUGCUAAUACUCCAUAAGCUCACAUUAUGACAUCAUAGAGUGAGAAAAGAUUUAUCGGUAUGAGAGGAGCUCGCGUCUGAUUAGCUAGUUGGUGGGGUAACGGCCUACCAAGGCGACGAUCAGUAGCCGACCUGAGAGGGUGAUCGGCCACAUUGGAACUGAGACACGGUCCAAACUCCUACGGGAGGCAGCAGUGGGGAAUAUUGCACAAUGGGGGAAACCCUGAUGCAGCAACGCCGCGUGAAGGAAGAAGUAUUUCGGUAUGUAAACUUCUAUCGACAGGGAAGAAACAAAUGACGGUACCUGAAUAAGAAGCACCGGCUAAAUACGUGCCAGCAGCCGCGGUAAUACGUAUGGUGCAAGCGUUAUCCGGAUUUACUGGGUGUAAAGGGUGAGUAGGCGGUCAUGCAAGUCAUAUGUGAAAUGUCAGGGCUUAACCUUGGCGCUGCAUAAGAAACUGUAUGACUAGAGUGCAGGAGAGGUAAGCGGAAUUCCUAGUGUAGCGGUGAAAUGCGUAGAUAUUAGGAAGAACACCGGUGGCGAAGGCGGCUUACUGGACUGUUACUGACGCUGAGUCACGAAAGCGUGGGGAGCAAACAGGAUUAGAUACCCUGGUAGUCCACGCCGUAAACGAUGAGUGCUAGGUGUUGGCCAGAGAUGGUCGGUGCCGCAGCAAACGCAAUAAGCACUCCACCUGGGGAGUACGACCGCA
rnacentral:rRNA from 1 species